rnacentral:rRNA from 1 species
AGUGAACGCUGGCGGCGUGCCUAAUACAUGCAAGUCGAGCGGCAAGACGGGAAGAUUGCGCCCCUAACGUUGGCGACGGGCGGGUGGGUAACACAUGGAUCACAUUCUUCUUUUUCUGGGAUAACUUCGGAGAAAAGCUUACACUACUAGCUCAUAUAUUGUACGGCAUGAUUCAGUGGAGAUUGGCGCUUUUGCUGUCUCUAUUAGACGAUGCCGCAUUAGCUAGUUGGCAUGGUAAGGGCCCACCAAGGCGACGAUCCGUAGCCGACCUGAGAGGAUGAUCAGCCACACUGGAACUGAGACACGGUCCAGACUCCUACGGGAGGCAGCAGUAGGGAAUAUUCGGCAAUGGGCGAAAGCCUGACGCAGCAACGCCGCGUGAGUGAAGAAGGCCUUCGGAUCGUAAAACUCUUUUAUUGGGGAAGAACAAAUGUGUAAGUAAAUAUGGACGUCUUGACGGUACCUAAUCAGAAAGCCCCGGCUAACUACGUG